rnacentral:rRNA from 1 species
UACGUAGGGGGCGAGCGUUGUCCGGAAUCAUUGGGCGUAAAGAGCGUGUAGGUGGCUUGGAAAGUCUUACGUGAAAGCCUGCGGCUCAACCGCAGAAGUGCGUGGGAAACUUCCUCGCUAGAGUCCGGAAGAGGAGAGCGGAAUUCCUGGUGUAGCGGUGGAAUGCGCAGAUAUCAGGAGGAACACCCGUGGCGAAGGCGGCUCUCUGGGACAGUACUGACACUGAGACGCGAAAGCGUGGGGAGCGAACAGG